AAAAAUUACCAAAAAUUUCAAUCUUUCAAAACCUUUCAAUCUUUCACAAUCUUGCAAAAAUUGCAAUCUCACCUCAAAUUUCUUGAACAAUCUCCACAACUUGAACUUUGUAACUCCAACUCCAACUCCAACUUUGUAUUCAAACCUCCAAGAUCACAUCAACCAACUCCAACUCCAACUUUGUAUUCAAACCUCCAAGAUCACAUCAACCAAUUCCAACUCCAACUUCACAACUUACAACUUCCAACUUACAACUUCCAACUUACAACUU
rnacentral:lncRNA from 1 species